UUGGAUCCACAUGCACCCCCCGCUCAUCAAUAAUGUAUCCCAGAUACUGAACCUGGGUUAUGCCAAAAGUGCAUUUCUCCAAAUUGGCACACAACUUGUGUUGUCGCGCCGCAAUAGUAAUUCAACUUAGUACGAGAGGAACCGUUGAUUCACACAAUUGGUCAUCACGCUUGGUUGAAAAUCUAGUGGCACAAAGCUACCAUGUGUCGGAUUAUGACUGGACGCCUCUAAGUCAGAAUCCACGCUAGAAGCAUUGCUUGUCACUCCUCGACUGUAUCUUGACCCGCAGAAGGGGUGUCGCUUCGGCACCCCCAGGGGCCCGUGUCACUUGCGAACCUCGGACGGGAAGCGUCUCGGUCGGGGCAGCUUUGAAGUUCAAUUCCAAACGGUCGUUGAGAAGAAUCCUUUGCAGACGAAUUAAAUACGCGACGGGGUAUUGUAAGUGGCAGAGUGGCCUUGCUUCCACGAUCCACUGAGAUUCAGCCCUUCAUCGCCUCGAUUCAA
rnacentral:ncRNA from 1 species